UACGUAUGGUGCAAGCGUUAUCCGGAUUUACUGGGCGUAAAGGGAGCGCAGGCGGCGCGCCAAGUCUGAUGUGAAACCCCGGGGCUCAACCCCGGGCAUGCAUUGGAAACUGGCGGGCUGGAGUGCCGGAGAGGUAAGCGGAAUUCCUAGUGUAGCGGUGAAAUGCGUAGAUAUUAGGAGGAACACCAGUGGCGAAGGCGGAUGACUGGACGGCAACUGACGGUGAGGCGCGAAAGCGUGGGGAGCAAACAGG
rnacentral:rRNA from 1 species